ACUCCUACGGGAGGCAGCAGUGGGGAAUUGUUCACAAUGGGCGCAAGCCUGAUGACGCAAUGCCGCGUGGAGGAUGAAGGUCUUCGGAUUGUAAACUCCUGUUGCCAGGGACGAAUGGCUCCGACCUAACACGUCGGAGAAUGACGGUACCUGGUGAGUAAGCCCCGGCUAACUCUGUGCCAGCAGCCGCGGUAAUACAGAGGGGGCGAGCGUUGUUCGGAAUUACUGGGCGUAAAGGGCGCGUAGGCGGCCUUCUAAGUCGAACGUGAAAUCCCCGGGCUCAACCCGGGAACUGCGUCCGAUACUGGGAGGCUUGAAUCCGGGAGAGGGAUGUGGAAUUCCAGGUGUAGCGGUGAAAUGCGUAGAUAUCUGGAGGAACACCGGUGGCGAAGGCGGCAUCCUGGACCGGUAUUGACGCUGAGGCGCAAAAGCCAGGGGAGCAAACGGGAUUAGAUACCCCGGUAGUCCUGGCCCUAAACGAUGAAUGCUUGGUGUGGCGGGUAUCGAUCCCUGCCGUGCCGAAGCUAACGCAUUAAGCAUUCCGCCUGGGGAGUACGGUCGCAAGGCCGAAACUCAAAGGAAUUGACGGGGGCCCGCACAAGCGGUGGAGCAUGUGGUUUAAUUCGACGCAACGCGAAGAACCUUACCCAGGCUUGAACUGCAGAUGACAUCCUACGAAAGUAGGCUUCCGCAAGGACGUCUGUAGAGGUGCUGCAUGGCUGUCGUCAGCUCGUGUCGUGAGAUGUUGGGUUAAGUCCCGCAACGAGCGCAACCCUUGUCUUCUGUUGCCAUCAGGUUAAGCUGGGCACUCUGAAGAGACUGCCGGUGACAAACCGGAGGAAGGUGGGGAUGACGUCAAGUCAGCAUGGCCUUUAUGUCUGGGGCCACACACGUGCUACAAUGGCCGGUACAAACCGUCGCGAUCCCGCGAGGGGGAGCUAAUCGGAGAAAGCCGGUCUCAGUUCGGAUUGUAGGCUGCAACUCGCCUGCAUGAAGUUGGAAUCGCUAGUAA
rnacentral:rRNA from 1 species